rnacentral:lncRNA from 1 species
ACUGUGGUAGUAGGGUGUGGUAGAGGGGACUGCAGAGGGGCAGAGCGCAGGAAGGGCUAUGAGGGGAUGGGCAGGGGGUGGCAGACGGAACAAGAGGCUGACAAAAGGAUGGAGGGGAACAAAGGGGACCCCAGAAGGGCACUGUGGCCACCCCAGGAGUUCGUAAGUGCUACGAGGUCCCUGACACUUCCCCUGUCUCCUCCUCAGCUUUUCCCAGCCCUGAUGCAGCCACAGGUCAUUGUCGUGGCCAUCCUGGGUGAGCUGCUGGCCACCCUGCCCAGGCGGGACGGAGAGGCACCCAUGUCCCUACAGUGUCUGCGCUGGGACCUGGAGGAAUACUCCAGGGAUCUCCGGGCCACCCUGCACUGCACUGAUGACACCAUGUGGCGCAACAUUGUAACCUCCGAUGAUGAUGGCCCUGUCACCUCCCUUAGCCAGGCCCUGGCCGCCUUCAGGAGCACCCCAUGGACCCCCCAGAACCGUGUGACAAUGGCAGCCAGCAAGUGGCAGGAGGCGGUUUCUGUGCUUGUGGACAGCUGGGCCAAACUAUCCAGGAAGGCCACCCAGCUCCGCAAUACCUGGAGGGAGGUGGCUGCCGAGGCGGCCGACAUGGUGGCCACCGCCACUGCCCAGGCCAGGGAGCUGCAGGACGAGGCUGCCCGUUAUGGCACAGCUCAGGAAAACAUGGUGGAGCUGGGUCAGGCCCUGGGCAGGGAGGAGGGGGCCGAGGUGGUGGUCAGGCAUGGAGCCCAGGUGAGGAGAGAGGCCAGGGUGGCUGCCAGCAAGGCAACAAGGGCCACCAUGGUGAGACAGCGGGUGGAGGUGGCCCUGGGGCUGCUGGAGCGCUUGGUGGCCACGUGCGACGCAGCCGCCACGUUCCCCCGGGAGCUGCAGUGCAGGGUUGGGGACAUCGAGGCCACCCUGAAGGGGACAAAUGUGGCAUCCCCCGAUGUCCCCGAGGACUUGGUGGUCAAGGUGGCCGUGGCUGAGUGGCUGUGGGAGGCCAACGCCCGCCUGGUCAAGGAUCACCUGGAGGGGACACUUAAUGACAUCAAUGCGUUCUAUUACGGUUAUGGUCCCAACAGCCCCCAUUGCCGCGGGGUGGCUGAGCGGUGCCAAAGAGUCAUCAAGGACAUCCCAAGGCUCCUUCGACCCCUGGAGUGUCCCCAGAGUGUCCCCAG